GGAUGUAAUAAAGGUGCAUAUUAAUCUCAACAAUUAUAUAUUUUUUAUGUUUACAUUCUGUCCCACCAAUGUCCAGAUAUGUAUUGAAAAGUAAGGAUUAUAAAAUUCAAUUAGGGGGAAAUAAGAGACUAUACAGAGACCUCCACAUAUGAUAAAUAAUAUAAAGAUGUAGUUUCGAUAUUGUGUGGUGGUCCAGUAUCGCACCCUUUGGAAAAAAAUUCAGGGGGGUAUUUGGGUCCAAUCUGUAACAUCAAUCCAGUGUGGUAUAUCAUUGCUGCUUUCACCACCUGUACCAUUAAUCCAGUGUGGUAUAUAAUUGCUGCUUUGCUCAUCUGUACCAUCAAUUAUCGAAGAACCAACGGCCACAUUUCAUUGUUGAUUAACAGUGACUAAUUUAACUUGAGAUGCAAAUAACCCAUUGGUGUAACUGUAGUUCUAAUACCAAAGAUAGUCUCUGGUCAUGAUCAAGCAACCAGAGUUGUUCUGCUUAAGGGAAAUAAAUAACAUAGUAAAAAUAAAUAAAUAAAUAAUAAUGCCUGUGCCUGCUUUGGGGCCGCAUCAUAAAUAUUUCUCUCAUGUAGAACACUCCAAUGGAGUCUAGUUUUACAACAACAGAGUGACCCAGGCAGUGUGCUAUAUUUGUGUAGGAAAACAUAGCCGAGUUUAGAUGUAGUAGAUGAUUGAUUACAAAACAACAAAAUAAUAAUAUACAUAAGCAAACCAGCAAAAUGAAAAAUAAUGUCACAUACUGUAAAAUUUCGCAACUUGCAAAGUCUCAAAUUCGAGGCAAUAUUAUUAUUAUAUGACUUGUAGUAUAAACAUAAUAAAGUUCAAUUGGUAACAUCGAAAGAUAGAGAUCUGUACAAGAACACCGAAGAGCACCAAAUUAUAUGUAGCAUAAGAGUAAAUCCCUGUCAUAUAUAAGAGCGGACCUCAGCCUGUAAGGACUUCCUUAUAGACGAUGUUCUUCAUCGAGGUCUGUAAGGACAAGGCAGGUCUUUUUCGCUUCUUUGAUUUACUGCUUUGCUUCUUGCCAUUCUCCUUCUCUUUCUCCUUCUCAAUGAGGAUCUUUAUGUUUCUCUUCGCGGUGGCUCGAGACAAUGCGACAUAGAGUUGACCAUGAGAGAACACCGGAUUAGGUAGGUACACACCAACGAUCGGAAUUGUCUGUCCUUGAGCCAUGUUAAUCGUCAUAGCAAAGCUAAGCCUUACAGGAAAUUGCUUCCUCUUGAACUUGAAUGGAAACAUGUCGUUGUCAGACGGGCAUAGGGGUAUUCGAGGAAGGAAAACCCUCCUACCCGCGUGCUGUCCAAUCACAAUUUCUGCGUCGAUGGCGUUCCUCUGGAAACCUCGCACCACAAGCCUCGUCCCGUUACACAGACCAUUAGCCGGAUCAAUGUUCCUCAGAAGUAUGACAGGGUAGUUGAGCUUCAGUUUGAGUGCAUGCGGAGGCAGACCGUUGGGAGUCAAUCCAUUAAGGAACUCGGGAGCGUAGUAGCCAUAUGGGUCGUCCUCUGCACUGUCAAAGCUAUGGUAGAUUACUUCUUCUCCCCGAAAACGCUCUACCAUGCGUAUGUUUAUCUUGUCGACGUUGUCGUUCGUGGUGGAGAGAAUUGCGCGUGAAGUCAUGUAAUUCGGAUCGGUCAUGUUGUCAUCUAGUCUCGGAAACACAUGGUCAAUCAGCUUCUCCAGGUCAUCACCCUCGCCUGUAGACGGCACACAAAUAUCUUCAGGGAGUCGUAUGUUUCCUUGUUCGUCAACUUCCUCGGUGCCAUUGCCUACCCUUAGCAAGUAAUCCGCAAACCAGGUGUCAUUAUGAGCCCUCAUGUUGGUGACAAGCCUUAGCUGGCGCAUACCCUUCCAGAGGUGUGAACUUCGAAGGGUUGCAUCGAUUAUCUGACCCCGGGACCCCCUCCUGACGACCGGAAGCACCUGCCUGAAGUCCCCGCCAAACACAAUAGUUUUUCCUCCAAAGGGUCGGUCCCGUCUUCCCGUGAUGUCACGCAUGCUGUUGUCCAGUGCCUCGACCGCCUGUCGCUUAGUCAUGGUGGCCUCGUCCCAUAGUAUCAAUGAGGCCAUCCUCAGUAGCUUGGCAGUACCACUCUGUUUCGUGAAGGUGCAUGAGGCGCCAUCGUCGCAGCUCAAUGGGAUCUUGAACCUCGAGUGGGCAGUCCUGCCUCCAGGCAUGAUAGAAGCGGCGACGCCUGACGUCGCGGUAGCAAUAGCGAUGUUUCCCUUGCUUCGAACCUUGGCGAGCAGCGCCCUGUACAGGAAGGUCUUCCCUGUACCUCCCGGUCCAUCAACAAAGAACACACCCCCAUCACCGCGUUCAACAGAAGCUAGUAUCUCGUCGUAUGCAACCCUCUGCUCCAAGUUUAGCGACGAAGCCAAUUUAGUGUCGUUGAUGUCAAAAUCGACGUUGGAUUCCUCGAUCACUUCUCUGGCCUCGCCCUCGGUUGGGUCGAACGCAUCGUCAAUGCAUGGAAGAGCAAAAUCAGAUAUGUCUUUGCCCAUGGAUUGCAACAUACCCCUAAUGUCAAGCAACACCAUCUGUUCCACCUCAAUCGGGCAUGUGUGUGAUCGCCGAUAGUCAUCAGACAUAGGCUCGAAGUGCCUAUCCCAUAAACCACGCACGUCGCAUGGCUCACAGUGCACCAAAACUGUUGCAAAGAGCCUCCUGAGCGAACAAGGCAUCGCCCACUGCUCUGCCUCGGUAAGACAGUCGUCGAGCGUGUUAUCUGCCUCGAUGAGUCCCAACCUUUCGGCAGCCUCUCUAAAGCUCCCGCAUAGCCUACCGUCCACGGUGAGCAGGUCCUCAUAGGAUGUCUUGCCAGCAACAUGGUUUAGCAGGACACGCAGAUAGUAUCGCUCCCCCUCGGCAGGAUUGGCAGACACAAUUCGACCUAUCUGAUAAUGCUUCACCCGCUCUUUCCAAUACUUCUUACCCUUCUGCCAUGUGAACCUUCCAGGAAAAUCCUUGUACAAUAUAUUCCUAGCCCACGGGUGGUUUUGGUUAGCUUUGAAAUACUCUGUCAACAUGGAUUUGGAAGCUUUCUCAGAGGCGACUGUUGGGGAACGUUGCAGAAAAUUAAAUUUUUUCCUACGGUUUCACCAAGAUCCAUCUAUGAGUUCAUCUAAGCAAUGAGUCAAGGGAGAGAGUUUGCAUCUACAUAACACUUGUAGAUCACGAGCGGAAGCUAGCCAAGGGGAUGGUGAUGAUGGAGUCGUACUCGAACGUGAUUCGGAUCACCGAUGUCCAAGUGCUGAACGGACAGCACCUCCGCGUUCAACACAUGUACGGGACGGGAGACGUCUCCUCCUUCUUGAUCCAGCAAGGGGGAAGGAGAGGUUGAGGAAGAUUGCUCCAACGGCAGCACGACGGCGUGGUGUAGUUGGUGCAGCAGUACUCCGACAGGGCUUCGCCAAGCAUAUACGGAGGAGGAGAGGUGUUGGGGAGGGGAGGGGCUGCGCCUUGGCUUGUGUUGAGCUCCCAUGCGCCUCCCCACUAUAUAUAGGGGUGGAGGGGAUGGUUUCUUGCCCUCCAAGUCCAUUGGGGCGUUGGCCAAGGUGGGAGGAAAGAAAUCCCAUCAUUUCCUUCCCCACCGAUUGUUAUCCCCCCUUUUUAGGGAUCUUGAUCUUAUCCCUUCGGGAUAUGAUCUUAUUCCUUCUAAGGGGGGAUCUUGGUGCGCCUUGACCAGGGGUGUGGGGCCUUUCCCCCACUACUCACGUUCAUGUGGGUCCCCCCAUGCAGGUGGGCCCCACUCCAGAACCUUCUAGAACCUUCCCGGUACAAUACCGAAAAAUCCCGAACAUUUUCCGGUGGCCAAAAUAGGACUUCCCAUAUAUAAAUCUUUACCUCCGGACCAUUCCGGAACUCCUCGUGAUGUCCGGGAUCUCAUCCGGGACUCUGAACAACAUUCGGUAACCACAUACAAACUUCCUUUAUAACCCUAGCGUCAUCGAACCUUAAGUGUGUAGACCCUACGGGUUCGGGAGACAUGUAGACAUGACCGAGACGUUCUCCGGUCAAUAACCAACAGCAGGAUCUGGAUACCCAUGUUGGCUCCCACAUGCUUCUCGAUGUUGUCAUCGGAUGAACCACGAUGUCGAGGAUUCGAUCAAACCCUGUAUACAAUUCCCUUUGUCAAUCGGUACGUUACUUGCUCGAGACUCGAUCGUCGGUAUCCCAAUACCUUGUUCAGUCUCGUUACCGGCAAGUCACUUUACUCGUACCGUAAUGCAUGAUCUCGUGGCCAACACUUUGGUCACCUUGAGCUCAUUAUGAUGAUGCAUUACCGAGUGGGCCCAGAGAUACCUCUCCGUCAUACGGAGUGACAAAUCCCAGUCUCGAUCCGUGUCAACCCAACAGCUACUUUCGGAGAUACCUGUAAUGCACCUUUAUAGUCACCCAGUUACGUUGUGACAUUUGAUACACCCAAGGCACUCCUACGGUAUCCGGGAGUUACACGAUCUCAUGGUCUAAGGAAGAGAUACUUGACAUUGGCAAAGCUCUAGCAAACGAACUAAAUGACCUUUGUGCUAUGCUUAGGAUUGGGUCUUGUCCAUCACAUCAUUCUCCUAAUGAUGUGAUCCCGUUAUCAACGACAUCCAAUGUCCAUAGCCAGGAAAUCAUGACUAUCUGUUGAUCACAACGAGCUAGUCAACUAGAGGCUCACUAGGGACAUAUUGAGGUCUAUGUAUUCACACGUGUAUUACGAUUUCCGGAUAAUACAGUUAUAGCAUGAAUAAAAGACAAUUAUCAUGAACAAUGAAAUAUAAUAAUACUUUUAUUAUUGCCUCUAGGGCAUAUUUCCAACAGUCUCCCACUUGCACUAGAGUCACCAAUCUAGUUACAUUGUGAUGAAUCGAACACCCAUAGAGUUCUGGUGUUGAUCAUGUUUAGCUCGCGAGAGAGGUUUAGUCAAGGGAUCUGCGACAUUCAGAUCCGUAUGUACUUUGCAAAUUUCUAUGUCUCCAUCUUGAACAUUUUCACGGAUGGAGUUGAAACGACGCUUGAUGUGCCUGGUCUUCUUGUGAAACCUGGGCUCCUUGGCAAGGGCAAUAGCUCCAGUGUUGUCACAGAAGAGUUUGAUUGGCCCCGACGCAUUGGGUAUGACUCCUAGGUCGGUGAUGAACUCCUUCACCCAAAUUGCUUCAUGCGCUACCUCCGAGGCUACCAUGUACUCCGCUUCACACGUAGAUCCCGCCACGACGCUCUGCUUGCAGCUGCACCAGCUUACUGCUCCACCAUUCAACAUAUACACGUAUCCGGUUUGUGACUUAGAGUCAUCCGGAUCUGAGUCGAAGCUAGCAUCGACGUAACCCUUUACGACAAGCUCUUCGUCUCCUCCAUAAACGAGAAACAUGUCCUUUGUCCUUUUCAGGUACUUCAGGAUAUUCUUGACUGCUGUCCAGUGUUCCUUGCCGGGAUUACUUUGGUAUCUAGCUACCAAACUCACGGCAAGGUUUACAUCAGGUCUGGUACACAGCAUGGCAUACAUAAUAGAUCCUAUGGCUGAAGCAUAGGGGAUGACACUCAUCUCUUCUUUAUCUUUGGCCGUGGUUGGUGACUGAGCCGAGCUCAAUCUCACACCUUGUAACAUAGGCAAGAACCCCUUCUUGGACUGAUCCAUUUUGAACCUCUUCAAAAUCUUAUCAAGCUAUGUGCUUUGUGAAAGACCUAUGAGGCGUCUCGAUCUAUCUCUAUAGAUCUUGAUGCCUAAUAUGUAAGCAGCUUCUCCAAGGUCCUUCAUUGAAAAACACUUAUUCAAGUAGGCCUUAAUGCUGUCCAGAAAUUCUAUAUUAUUUCCCAUCAAGAGUAUGUCAUCUACAUAUAAUAUGAGAAAUGCUACAGAGCUCCCACUCACUUUCUUGUAAACGCAGGCUUCUCCAUAAGUCUGCAUAAACCCAAACGCUUUGAUCAUCUCAUCAAAGCGAAUAUUCCAACUCCGAGAUGCUUGCACCAGCCCAUAAAUGGAUCGCUGGAGCUUGCAUACUUUUUUAGCAUUCUUAGGAUCGACAAAACCUUCUGGCUGCAUCAUAUACAGUUCUUCCUUAAGAUGCCCGUUAAGGAAUGCUGUUUUGACGUCCAUCUGCCAUAUCUCAUAAUCAUAGUAUGCGGCAAUUGCUAACAUGAUUCGGACGGACUUUAGCUUCGCUACGGGAGAGAAUGUCUCGUCGUAGUCAAUCCCUUGAACCUGUCGAUAACCCUUAGCGACAAGUCGAGCUUUAUAGAUGGUGACAUUAUCAUCCGCGUCUGUCUUCUUCUUAAAGAUCCAUUUGUUUUCUAUCGCUCGCCGAUCAUCGGGCAAGUCUGUCAAAGUCCAUACUUUGUUUUCAUACAUGGAUUCUAUCUCGGAUUUCAUGGCUUCAAGCCAUUUGUUGGAAUCUGGGCCCGCCAUCGCUUCUUCAUAGUUCGAAGGUUCACCGUUGUCUAACAACAUGAUUUCCAGGACGGGGUUGCCGUACCACUCUGGUGCGGAACGUGUCCUUGUGGACCUACGAAGUUCAGUAGCAACUUGAUCCGAAGUACCUUGAUCAUCAUCAUUGGUUUCCUCUUCAGUUGGUGUGGGCAUCACAGGAACAUUUUCCUGAGCUGCACCACUUUCCCGUUCGAGAGGUAGUACUUCAUCGAGUUCUACUUUCCUCCCACUUACUUCUUUCGAGAGAAACUCUUUUUCUAGAAAGCAUCCGUUCUUGGCAACAAAGAUUUUGCCCUCGGAUCUUAAGUAGAAGGUAUACCCGACAGUUUCCUUAGGGUAUCCUAUGAAGACGCAUUUUUCCGACUUGGGUUCGAGCUUUUCAGGUUGAAGUUUCUUGACAUAAGCAUCGCAUCCCCAAACUUUUAGAAACGACAGCUUAGGCUUCUUCCCAAACCAUAAUUCAUACGGUGUCGUCUCAACGGAUUUAGACGGUGCCCUAUUUAAAGUGAAUGUAGCUGUCUCUAGAGCGUAUCCCCAAAAUGAUAGCGGUAAAUCAGUAAGAGACAUCAUAGACCGCACCAUAUCCAAUAGAGUGCGAUUACGACGUUCGGACACACCGUUUCGCUGAGGUGUUCCAGGCGGCGUGAGUUGUGAAACGAUUCCACAUUUCCUUAAGUGUGUGCCAAAUUCGUGACUUAAAUAUUCUCCUCCACGAUCUGAUCGUAGGCACUUUAUCUUUCGGUCAUGUUGAUUCUCCACCUCAUUCUGAAAUUCCUUGAACUUUUCAAAGGUCUCAGACUUGUGUUUCAUUAAGUAGACAUACCCAUAUCUACUUAAGUCAUCAGUGAGAGUGAGAACAUAAUGAUAUCCUCCGCGAGCCUCAACGCUCAUUGGACCGCACACAUCGGUAUGUAUGAUUUCCAAUAAGUUGGUUGCUCGCUCCAUUGUUCCGGAGAACGGAGUCUUGGUCAUCUUGCCCAUGAGGCAUGGUUCGCACGUGUCAAACGAUUCAUAAUCAAGAGACUCUAAAAGUCCAUCGGCAUGGAGCUUCUUCAUGCGCUUGACACCAAUGUGACCAAGGCGGCAGUGCCACAAGUAUGUGGGACUAUCGUUAUCAACUUUACAUCUUUUGGCAUCUACACUAUGAACAUGUGUAAUAUUACGCUCGAGAUUCAUUAAGAAUAAACCAUUGACCAUCGGAGCAUGACCAUAAAACAUAUCUCUCAUAUAAAUCGAACAACCAUUAUUCUCAGACUUAAAUGAGUAGCCAUCUCGUAUUAAACGAGAUCCAGAUACAAUGUUCAUGCUCAAACUUGGCACUAAAUAACAAUUAUUAAGGUUCAAAACUAAUCCCGUAGGUAAAUGUAGAGGCAGCGUGCCGACGGCGAUCACAUCGACUCUGGAACCAUUCCCGACGCGCAUCGUCACCUCGUCCUUCGCCAGUCUCCGUUUAUUCCGCAGCUCCUGCUGUGAGUUACAAAUAUGAGCAACGGCACUGGUAUUAAAUACCCAGGAGUUACUACGAGUACUGGUAAGGUACACAUCAAUUACAUGUAUAUCAAAUAUACCUUUGGUUUUGCCGGCCUUCUUAUCUGCUAAGUAUUUGGGGCAGUUCCGCUUCCAGUGACCCUUCCCCUUGCAAUAAAAGCACUCAGUCUCAGGCUUAGGUCCAUUCUUUGACUUCUUUCCGGUAACUGGCUUACCAGGCGCGGCAACCUCCUUGCCGUCCUUCUUGAAGUUCUUCUUACCCUUGCCCUUCUUGAACUUAGUGGUCUUAUUGACCAUCAACACUUGAUGUUCUUUCUUGAUUUCAGCCUCUGCUGACUUCAGCAUCGAGAACACUUCAGGAAUGGUCUUUUCCAUCCCCUGCAUGUUGUAGUUCAUCACAAAGCUCUUGUAGCUUGGUGGGAGCGACUGGAGGAUUCUGUCAAUGACCGCCUCAUCUGGGAGGUUAAUGUUCAGCUGGGUCAUACGGUUGUGCAACCCAGACAUCUUCAGGAUGUGCUCACUGACAGAACUGUUUUCCUCCAUCUUACAACUGUAGAACUUGUCGGAGACAUCAUAUCUCUCGACCCGGGCAUGAGCUUGGAAAACUAGUUUCAGCUCUUCGAACAUCUCAUAUGCUCCGUGAUGCUCAAAACGCUUUUGGAGCCCCGGUUCUAAGCUGUAAAGCAUGCCGCACUGAACGAGGGAGUAAUCAUCAGCGCGAGUUUGCCAAGCAUUCAUAAUGUCUUGGUUCUCUGGGACGGGAGUGUCACCUAGCGGUCCUUCUAGGACAUAUUGUUUCCUGGCAGCUAUGAGGAUGAUCCUCAGGUUCCGGACCCAGUCCGUAUAGUUGCUGCCAUCGUCUUUCAGCUUGGUUUUCUCUAGGAACGCGUUGAAGUUCAUGUUGACAUGAGCGUUGGCCAUUUGAUCUACAAGACAUAUUUGCAAAGGUUUUAGACUAAGUUCAUGAUAAUUAAGUUCUAAUCAAAUUAUGAACUCCCACUCAGAUUAGACAUCCCUUUAGUCAUCUAAGUGUUACACGAUCCGAGUCCACUAGGCCGUGUCCGAUCAUCACGUGAGACGGACUAGUCAUCGUCGGUGAACAUUCUCAUGUUGAUCGUAUCUUCCAUACGACUCGUGUUCGACCUUUCGGUCUCCGUGUUCCGAGGCCAUGUCUGCACAUGCUAGGCUCGUCAAGUUAACCCUAAGUGUUUUCGCUGUGUAAAACUGUCUUACACCCGUUGUAUGUGAACGUAAGAAUCCAUCACACCCGAUCAUCACGUGGUGCUUAGAAGCGACGAACUGUAGCAACGGUGCACAGUUAGGGGAGAACACUUCUUGAAAUUUUUGUAAGGGAUCAUCUUAUUUACUACCGUCGUCCUAAGUAAACAAGAUGCAUAAACAUAAUAAACAUCACAUGCAAUUAUAUAGUUGUGACAUGAUAUGGCCAAUAUCAUAUAGCUCCAUUGAUCUUCAUCUUCGGGGCUCCAUGAUCAUCUUGUCACCGGCUUGACACCAUGAUCUCCAUCAUCAUGAUCUCCAUAAUCGUGUCUUCAUGAAGUUGUCACGCCAACGACUACUUCUACUUCUAUGGCUAACGCAUUUAGCAAUAAAGUAAAGUGAGUUACAUGGCGUUCUUCAAUGACACGCAGGUCAUACAAAAAAAUAAAGACAACUCCUAUGGCUCCUGCCGGUUGUCAUACUCAUCGACAUGCAAGUCGUGAAUCCUAUUACAAAGAACAUGAUCUCAUACAUCACAAUUCAUCAUUCAUCACAACUUCUGGCCAUAUCACAUCACAUGAUCAAUCGCUGCAAAAACAAGUUAGACGUCCUCUAAUUGUUGUUGCAUCUUUUACGUGGCUGCAAUUGGGUUCUAGCAAGAACGUUUUCUUACCUACGAAUAACCACAACAUGAUUUUGUCAACUUCUAUUUACCCUUCAUAAGGGCCCUUUUCAUCGAAUCCGCUCCAACUAAAGUGGGAGAGACAGACACCCGCCAGCCACCUUAUGCAACUAGUGCAUGUCAGUCGGUGGAACCGGUCUCACGUAAGCGUACGUGUAAGGUUGGUCCGGGCCGCUUCAUCCCACAAUACCGCCGAAGCAAGAAAAGACUAGUAGAGGCAAGUAAGAUGACAAAAUCCACGCCCACAACAAAAUUGUGUUCUACUCGUGCAAAGAGAACUACGCAUAAACCUGGCUCUGAUACCACUGUUGGGGAACGUUGCAGAAAAUUAAAAAUUUUCCUACGGUUUCACCAAGAUCCAUCUAUGAGUUCAUCUAAGCAACGAGUCAAGGGAGAGAGUUUGCAUCUACAUACCACUUGUAGAUCACAAGCGGAAGCUAGCCAAGGGGAUGGUGAUGAUGGAGUCGUACUCGAACGUGAUUCGGAUCACCGAUGUCCAAGUGCUGAACGGACAGCACCUCCGCGUUCAACACACGUAUGGGACGGGAGACGUCUCCUCCUUGUUGAUCCAGCAAGGGGGAAGGAGAGGUUGAGGAAGAUUGCUACAACGGCAGCACGACGGCGUGGUGUAGUUGGUGCAGCAGUACUCCGACAGGGCUUCGCCAAGCAUAUACGGAGGAGGAGAUGUGUUGGGGAGGGGAGGGGCUGCGCCUUGGCUUGUGUUAAGCUCCCAUGCGCCUCCCCACUAUAUAUAGGGGUGGAGGGGAUGGUUUCUUGCCCUCCAAGUCCAUUGGGGCGUUGGCCAAGGUGGGAGGAAAGAAAUCCCAUCAUUUCCUUCCCCACCGAUUGUUAUCCCCCCUUUUUAGGGAUCUUGAUCUUAUCCCUUCGGGAUAUGAUCUUAUUCCUUCUAAGGGGGGAUCUUGGUGCGCCUUGACCAGGGGUGUGGGGCCUUUCCCCCACUACUCACGUUCAUGUGGGUCCCCCCAUGCAGGUGGGCCCCACUCCGGAACCUUCUAGAACCUUCCCGGUACAAUACCGAAAAAUCCCGAACAUUUUCCGGUGGCCAAAAUAGGACUUCCCAUAUAUAAAUCUUUACCUCCGGACCAUUCCGGAACUCCUCGUGACAUCCGGGAUCUCAUCCGGGACUCCGAACAACAUUCGGUAACCACAUACAAACUUCCUUUAUAACCCUAGCGUCAUCGAACCUUAAGUGUGUAGACCCUACGGGUUCGGGAGACAUGUAGACAUGACCGAGACGUUCUCCGGUCAAUAACCAACAGCGGGAUCUGGAUACCCAUGAUGGCUCCCACAUGUUCCACGAUGAUCUCAUCGGAUGAACCACAAUGUCAAGGACUUAAUCAAUCCCGUAUUCAAUUCCCUUUGUCUAUCGGUAUGUUACUUGCCCGAGAUUCGAUCGUCGGUAUCCAAUACCUUGUUCAAUCUCGUUACCGGCAAGUCACUUUACUCGUUCCGUAACACAUCAUCCCGUGAUCAACUCCUUGGUCACAUUGCGCAUAUGAUGAUGUCCUACCAAGUGGGCCCAGAGAUACCUCUCCGUUUACACGGAGUGACAAAUCCCAGUCUCGAUCCGCAUAAAACAAUAGAUACUUUCGGAGAUACCUGUAGUGCACCUUUAUAGUCACCCAGUUACGUUGUGACGUUUGAUACACCCAAAGCACUCCUACGGUAUCCAGGAGUUACACGAUCUCAUGGUCAAAGGAAGAGAUACUUGACAUUGGCAAAGCUCUAGCAAACGAACUACGCGAUCUUUGUGCUAUGCUUAGGAUUGGGUCUUGUCCAUCACAUCAUUCUCCUAAUGAUGUGAUCCCGUUAUCAACGACAUCCAAUGUCCAUAGCCAGGAAACCAUGACUAUCUGUUGAUCACAACGAGCUAGUCAACUAGAGGCUCACUAGGGACAUAUUGUGGUCUAUGUAUUCACACGUGUAUUACGAUUUCCGGAUAAUACAGUUAUAGCAUGAAUAAAAGACAAUUAUCAUGAACAAGGAAAUAUAAUAAUAAUACUUUUAUUAUUGCCUCUAGGGCAUAUUUCCAACAUGGUGAUGAUGGAGUCGUACUCGAACGUGAUUCGGAUCACCGAUGUCCAUGCUGAACGGACAGCACCUCCGCGUUCAACACACGUACGGGACGGGAGACGUCUCCUCCUUCUUGAUCCAGCAAGGGGGAAGGAGAGGUUGAGGAAGAUUGCUCCAACGGCAGCACGACGGCAUGGUGUAGUUGGUGCAGCAGUACUCCGACAGGGCUUCGCCAAGCAUAUACGGAGGAGGAGAGGUGUUGGGGAGGGGAGGGGCUGCGCCUUGGCUUGUGUUAAGCUCCCAUGCGCCUCCCCACUAUAUAUAGGGGUGGAGGGGCUGGUUUCUUGCCCUCCAAGUCCAUUGGGGCGUUGGCCAAGGUGGGAGGAAAGAAAUCCCAUCAUUUCCUUCCCCAUCGAUUGUUAUCCCCCCUUUUUAGGGAUCUUGAUCUUAUCCCUUCGGGAUAUGAUCUUAUUCCUUCUAAGGGGGGAUCUUGGUGCGCCUUGACCAGGGGUGUGGGGCCUUUCCCCCACUACUCACGUUCAUGUGGGUCCCCCCAUGCAGGUGGGCCCCACUCCGGAACCUUCUAGAACCUUCCCGGUACAAUACCGAAAAAUCCCGAACAUUUUUCGGUGGCCAAAAUAGGACUUCCCAUAUAUAAAUCUUUACCUCCGGACCAUUCCGGAACUCCUCGUGACGUCCGGGAUCUCAUCCGGGACUCCGAACAACAUUCGGUAACCACAUACAAACUUCCUUUAUAACCCUAGCGUCAUCGAACCUUAAGUGUGUAGACCCUACGGGUUCGGGAGACAUGUAGACAUGACCGAGACGUUCUCCGGUCAAUAACCAACAGCGGGAUCUGGAUACCCAUGUUGGCUCCCACAUGCUUCUCGAUGUUGUCAUCGGAUGAACCACGAUGUCGAGGAUUCGAUCAAACCCUGUAUACAAUUCCCUUUGUCAAUCGGUACGUUACUUGCUCGAGACUCGAUCGUCGGUAUCCCAAUACCUUGUUCAGUCUCGUUACCGGCAAGUCACUUUACUCGUACCGUAAUGCAUGAUCUCGUGGCUAACACUUUGGUCACCUUGAGCUCAUUAUGAUGAUGCAUUACCGAGUGGGUCCAGAGAUACCUCUCCGUCAUACGGAGUGACAAAUCCCAGUCUCGAUCCGUGUCAACCCAACAGCUACUUUCGGGGAUACCUGUAAUGCACCUUUAUAGUCACCCAGUUACGUUGUGACGUUUGAUACACCCAAGGCACUCCUACGGUAUCCGGGAGUUACACGAUCUCAUGGUCUAAGGAAGAGAUACUUGACAUUGGCAAAGCUCUAGCAAACGAACUAAACGACCUUUGUGCUAUGCUUAGGAUUGGGUCUUGUCCAUCACAUCAUUCUCCUAAUGAUGUGAUCCCGUUAUCAAUGACAUCCAAUGUCCAUAGCCAGGAAAUCAUGACUAUCUGUUGAUCACAACGAGCUAGUCAACUAGAGGCUCACUAGGGACAUAUUGAGGUCUAUGUAUUCACACGUGUAUUACGAUUUCCGGAUAAUACAGUUAUAGCAUGAAUAAAAGACAAUUAUCAUGAACAAUGAAAUAUAAUAAUACUUUUAUUAUUGCCUCUAGGGCAUAUUUCCAACAGCGACUACGUCGGUCAAGUGAGCUUGCUCAUUGAAUGCCACCCUGUGCAUAUUCGGGAGAUGAACAGGCAACUGUAGGACAGGCGGGUCAUUGGCACACAAGGGGAAGCCAAAUAUCCUCCACAUCGCCUCUGGAGGAGUAACCCACCUCGCGUCUAUGUAUCUUUUGAUCUCAUCAAUGUUACCAUCAGCGUCGGGCUGGUCGAUGCUGAAAGAAGCCCUAUCAUGGCCCUUGUAUAUGUACUUGUAAAGGUAUUUGACGGCCUUUAUGCUGGAGGAAACCUCAACAUUGAUGUGGCAAUUGAACAUCCGCAGAAGGUAAGGGUUAUACGGCACCACCCAUCUGUUGUCCAACAUUUUACCCCGGACCUUAGCUUGCCGACCAUUAUCUCGACGACGAUAAACAGGGUAUGAGUCCUUGCCUUGUGUCGUGUUUUCAUUGAACGGCCGCGGGUAUCUGCACUUGCACUCGUUCUGUUGCAUGCACACAUUUUUGGGGUUGAGAGCACCGCAUGGUCCAUGCAUCAUAUGUUUCACCACCAAGGUGUGGAGUUCAGGAUACGUUUGCUUGUCAGGGAGCUCGCCAGAAAUGAGUCGGUCGUACUGCUCCAGAACGACAAGCUUAUAGGCAGAAUCCAUGAUCAACAAAAAGUGUGCGUGGGGGAGGCCCCUCUUUUGGAACUUGACUACGUAUACAUGUGCAACAACAACACCCAGGAUAUGCUGCUUGAACAACAUCUCUUUCAUAGCCUCUAGCUUCCCAUGGAACACACGAGCCACAAGAUCAUGUCGGUCUUACGCUGUCUGACCAGGAAACAACUCAUUUGUUAUCUCUUCCUAGUUAGGGUUGCAGGUCAUGGUCAAGAAGAUGUCAGGCUUCCCGUAGGUAUGGACAAUUGCCAUGGCAUCCAUAUGCCUCUGCUUCAUGUCGCGGUCGCCACUUGGGUACGUUCCAGGUAGCACUAUCCUUACUCCAACAGCGCUUGCACGGGUCUCCCCGGAUGUAAUUGCAUCAACAACUCCUUUAUACAGGUCGGCACGGAUCUUUGUCUGGUUCUUCCUGUACCAUUUCAACCUACAACUCUCAAUUUUGAUGUACAUGUCCACCCCCCAUUGCUGGAGCAAUCGUGCUCCACAGAGUAUGGGAUUGAAUAUCCCAGGUCGUGUCUGGAGCAUGUAACAGUAGUAGUCUCUCACUGAGAUGCAUAACCUGCUAUUCCCCUUUGCACAUGGAUGAGUAACGCAGACAUUAGGAUUCAUAUGAGAAGUAUACAAUUCAUGUAAACAACAGAAUACGCAUAAGGCUUACCUGCAUCAUCAUCAUCAUCAUCAUCACCUCUACCUCUUGGUUGUUGCACAACCGGCCAAGGUACAUCACGUUUAGGAAGUUUCGGGUGCCAACCGAGCUCCCCCCUUGGGUAGAAGAGUGGGUAAGAGAGAGGGUCAGAUGAGCUAGCCGUCACAUGUAUAUUGUGCCUCUGGUUGUCAUUCCCACAAAGUGUAGUCCUACGAUCGAACCUCUUUGCUAGGUCAGUGCCCUCCACCCAAAUUGCAGCGACCUCAGAUGACAGAGGUCUAUUAUACUUCCGUUGGUCUAGUCUCUGGUCAGUGUUGAGGUCUAUCCUGUAAUCGUCGAGGUUGUCCCUGUGCGCACCCAAACUCCUAAACUGCUGGGAGUACGGGUUUUCCUUGAGUAUGUGCACUAACUUUCUCACGACAUCUUGGUCUAAUUGCUCGGUGGCAGCCUUGCGAUGGGUUAGGCCUGGGUCGUCGUCGUAGAAGUACAACUGUAGAUGAUCUGGACGUGAUGUUGGACCGAAGGAAUGAACGUUGUGGUAGAUGGUGCCGUGCGCCCGGAACGUGUACACCCCACACUUCAUGUUUGUGUAGCUUUCAUCAAGGCUGACACCAAGGGUUGUGAACGAGAAGUGGCCGCUGAAGAACCGUAUGUUCUCCCGAAAAUUCCUUGAGUCCGCAUCCAUGCUAGACCAAAGCCUCAUUAGCUCCGGGAUGGGCUCCGGUUGCUUCAGCUCGAUCUGCCCACUGCGACAGCAGAAUCCCGGGGCCUCAGACACAAACUUCUUGGCCUUGCAGUGAUCACAAUUUGCGGUGUGCUUCAGGAUGUGUGUGUGGUCAGGGAGGUUUGAGUAGACAUAGUCCAAUGGAUCAUGGUCGACAUAGGUAUUGUGACUUGAGUCUUCCAAUUCGUCAUGCUCCAUGUCAUCAGUAUCUGAGCCUGCAAACAAGGUUUAUAAUUAGUGUGAUAUUUCAAACCGAUGGAUGUUGCUCAAGUGGGUGUACAUACCUUCACCAGCAAACAGGUAAUACUCAUUGUCAAAGAGGCUAUAAGGGUUGACAUUAUCAUUCAUGAGACGAGUAAGGUAAGCGUCCAUGUCGUCUGCUCAGGCGCGAAACCAAUAAAUGAGGGUUCAGUCUCAAGGGACGCAAGGAGAGUAAGGAUGGGAGUGUUACCUUCACUUCUGAUCGUGUACUCCGGCGUGCUAGAUGAGGUCGAGGCACCGUGUGGUUCCACUAUGGUAGGUUGUCCAGUUGAGCUCAUUUUUGGUAUGGAGAUGGACCUGACGGUUGGGGUCAUCACCCUACCUGCAAACCUUUCAUUACGCCGAUCGCGUAGAACAUUCCUCUCACCAUGCGGUACAUGCGUACUUUUUUUUCCUUGCCAAUUUUCUGUUGACGCUUCUUUGCCACCAUACCACCCUUGCAAGCUCGCUCUCCCCUCCCAGGCGUUGCUCUGGACUCAUGACUCUGCUCGUCCACUCCGUUAUCCGCUAUUGCUACUGGAUCACUGGUUUGCUGGUCGGCAUUUUGUAGGCACACAUUGAUUUCGCUGCGGUCUCCAUGUACAGCACCAUCACCGAAGGUUCUGCUUAGGUAUGCACCUACAACACUAUACAUCAUUAUUUAUAUCUCAUGAAUGAUUACAUAAUGGAAGAUGAUGGUUGAUAGGAUACGUACCAUCGGUUUCGGUGUUGCGAAUGUAUGUGGGGGCCGCAUUGACCUAAGGAGCAUGAUAUAUUAGUUCACUGUCGAAUUGUUACGUGAGGGCUGAAAGUGUGAGAGUCGGACAAUGUGUGUGAGGGUUGGACAAUGUGCUAGUUAGAUCUGGACGUGGCAUUGCGAUCGAUUCAGCACACGGAGUGUUUUUCUUUGCAGCAUACUUUGCCUUUCUCUUUGCACUUGACUCCCCCCUUUCAUCCUCAGUCAUGGUUUUAGGGUGUUGCACGCGCCAUUCUUGCAACUUCUGAUUUUUUUCUCGAAGAUCGAUCACUCCGUCACCCACUUUUUUCCGAUAACUUGCUCGCCUCCGCGCGUUUCUCUGCUCAAUUUGCUCGUCUGUUAAGUCACCCUUGUGUUCUUUAUCAGGCUGUUUUUCAUCUAGAUUCUUGCUGGCUGCCUCCUCUUUUUUCUUUCGAUAAGCAGCUCUCCUCCGAGCCUUCAUUUGCUCUUUUUUCUUGUCAAGGUCCACCGAGAUUGGUUGACACCCAUUAGUGAUAUCACCGAGAGGUAGCAGGGUCACAUUUUGCAUAUCUGCACGAAGGGUUUAGGGUCUUCAUUGUUCAAGAAGAUUUCAUGUACUACACAAACGCUUAAUUUAUAUAUCUGCACGGUCAGGUUAAACAAUGAUGUAUAGCUGGAUGUAGUUGGGUUGGUAUCAUCAAGAGGUAACAGGGGAACAUUUUGCAUAUCUGCCCGGAGGGUUUAGGGUCUUCAUUGUUCACCGAGAGGUAACAGGGCUGGUUGAAGCUACUUAUUUAUCUAGGGUUUAUUUUUUAUAGAAUCCCUCCGUGUCCAUACAUAAAGUCUGUAUGUAUUCUAAAGUCCUAUGUCUGCCAUAUAUCGAAUUGAAUCUAAAUGAUCAGGAAUUGUAUGAUAACACAAUGGUCAACUAUUGGUCAAUUAUUUUUAUUCACUUUCUUGGUCAAUUAUUCAUGGGGUUGGGGUCUCGGAAACAUAUGUCACCUACAUUAUUCACUAAGAAAGUAUACAUACGGUAAUCAUAUUGCUGAAACAUAAACAUCCAUACCUGAUAUUGUAAUGGCUGUCAGAUUUUCAACUUUUUGCUUGCUGUCUGCCUCCUCUUUUUUCUUUCGAUAAGCAGCUCUUCUCCGAGACUUUAGUUGCUCUUUUUUAUCGUCAUCGUCCACCGUAGUUGGUUGACACACAUUAGUGAUAUCACCGAGAGGUAACCCACCCACAUACCGCAUAUCUGCAUGUGAAAUGAUCUUAACAUUAUACUCUGGAAUGGAGUUAGUAUAUAUAAUAUCAUCGCAGUGCCUUCCCAUAAAGCAUUCUUACCUGAUAUCGUAAGGGCAGACAGAUUUUCAUCUUGUUGCUUGACGGUAUCCUCCUCUUUUUUCUUUCUAUAAGCAGCUCGCCUCCGAGCUUUUUUCAACUCUCUUUUUUCGUCAAGGUCCACAGAGGAUGGUUGAUCUGCAUUAUUGAUAUCACUUUGAGGAUGGCAUGGAACAUUAUGCGGCCUCUCUUGCCAACUGUCAUGUUGCAUGCUAGCAUAACAAUAUAUUGGACCGAAACAAGGCAAAGUUGUAGGCACAUGGUCUUAACCUUUCGGCAACAUAAUACUUACCCGAAAUCAGAUGGGAAGGUUGAUGAUCAUAUGUACUUUCACAAUCGGCCUGUUCAAGUAUCAUCCUGUCCGAGUGAAUAAUAUGGACUCCUACAAGUCACACGCUUGAUCUUUUAGAAGGGGUUCUGCCCAAGUCUGUUAUGUAUGAUUUAUGACAUAAAAAGCAUAAAAGCAAUCUCAGUAUAUAUGCACAGCCUUAAUACCUGGACUACCUGGGUAAUUCUUGUGAACAUCGUCGGCUCCAGUUAUAACCCCUUCAUUAGAAUCGUCACCAAGAUGUCCCUCCAUCGGGCCUGCAACAUCUCCUGUGAUGGUGUUUGACAUGUAUAACUAAAUAUGUAGCUGAACACAUACAAGGAGGUAGUUAUAUACCUGGAGUAUCAUAUGUGCUAUCACCAUCGGUCUCAAGUACCAUCCGUUCGGAGGGAGUAAUAUGGACUCCUAGAAAUAAAGAUGUUGAUACAUUAGAAUCGGUUGUGCCCAAGUCUUUUAGGUAUGAUUUUCCAACUAAGAAGGAUAAAAGUAAACCUUAUACCUGGACUACGUGGGUAAAUUUUGUCAACAUCAUCGGCUACGGGUAUAAUCCCUUCGUUAGAGUCGUCAACACUUGUCCCCUCCAUCGGGCCUGUAACACAUAUGUAGUUGAACAUAUAUAUGUUUGACUUGUGUAGCACAAUUUAUAGGUGAACAUAUACCUGGAGGUACAUGUGAUGAAGUCGUCUGUUCCGCUGGCUUGCUGUGUGGAGUCCCCAUAUGUAACUAUUAAAAAAAGACACGUCCAACAGACUCAGGUAUCACGCAAAAACUUGUAAACUGACUCUGCAAGCAAAUCACGUGAAAUACCAACAGUACUAAAGGCCCUUUCCCACUAUAUAGAAAUUCAGUCCAUAAGGGCAGGUUGUUACAGAUUUAUUAGUCUUGCUAUAUAUAUGAAAAUAGAAAGACAUGUCGAACAGACCUUGCUACUUUGCAUUUUCCUGUAUUUUUUUAGGCCACGAAAUGUAGUUUUUCUGCGAAGCUAUAGUAAUUUUGAACCAUGUCUGUUUGCUGCUGGAUACUAAACUACUGUUGUUUGUUUACAGUGCAUCUUCUGUGUUAUUUACAGUGCAACAAGAACUGUAAUUCUAAUGCGAAACUACAGUAAUUUUGAACCAUAGUUUUCAAGUUGUUUGCUGCUCCAUACUAAACUACUGUUGUGUUUUUAUAGUGCAUCUUAUUUAUUAUUUACAGAGCAAUAAGAACUGUAAUUAUCCUGCAAGGCUAUAGUAAUUUUGAUCUUUGCCUUUUUAAGUUGUUUGCUGCUCCCAGUUUUACAGUGAGCUUACUGGGUUUUUAAUGUGUAUGUGUCACAGUAAAUAGCUUUGAUGCAUGUAUCUAUCUCAGGUAACACUAAUUUUCUAGUCUCUACUCAUGUUGUUUUUCCCUUUUUACAGUUAGCUAAAGGCUUUGUACUAUGCGGGUGUCACUGGGAAUAGCUUGAUGCAUGUUUGUAUGUUUUUCGGUCAAAAGGAUUUCACAAUCCAACAGAGAAAUACCCAUGGCUCUUCUUUUUGCUUGUUCUGUCAGAUUUCUUACUGUUGAACCUUAGCAAUGCUAGAGAGGAUUUUUUGACAGAACUACUACUCAUGUGAUCUUUCAGCCCUUGUUCCUCUAGAGAACUUUUGAGUAGUGGUGGGAUCUGACAAUCAGAGCUCUCCUGUGACCACAGAGUGAUGCUAGAGACACUUGUAUGGAUGAUUUGCAGUGCUAA
rnacentral:lncRNA from 1 species